CUGGACAUUUCCAGAGUAGAUGUUCUUCCCCCAAAUUACAAGGAAUGGAGGCUGGGAAACUACAUUUCUGAGACUCCUUCAUCAUCAGGAUGCCAGAUAAUAUUUUAAGUAAGGAAAAUAAAAUUAACUUUUCUGGGGCGAGAUGACAGACGAAUGUGCAAAGGCUUUCCUGUUUUCAAGAAGCAGUUUCUUACACUAUGCUUUUUAUUCACGUUAAAUGAAAUUCUAUUAGAAUAAAUUGUAUCAUGAGUUUUUAAAUAAAAU
rnacentral:lncRNA from 1 species